rnacentral:rRNA from 1 species
GACGAACGCUGGCGGCGUGCUUAACACAUGCAAGUCGAACGGUAAGGCCCUUCGGGGUACACGAGUGGCGAACGGGUGAGUAACACGUGGGUGAUCUGCCCUGCACUUCGGGAUAAGCCUGGGAAACUGGGUCUAAUACCGGAUAGGACCACUGCCUGCAUGGGUGGUGGUGGAAAGCUUUUGCGGUGUGGGAUGGGCCCGCGGCCUAUCAGCUUGUUGGUGGGGUGAUGGCCUACCAAGGCGACGACGGGUAGCCGGCCUGAGAGGGUGGCCGGCCACACUGGGACUGAGACACUGCCCAGACUCCUACGGGAGGCAGCAGUGGGGAAUAUUGCACAAUGGGCGCAAGUCUGAUGCCGCGCCGCCGCGUGAGGGAUGACGGCCUUCGGGUUGUAAACCUCUUUCAGCACCGACGAAGCGCAAGUGACGGUAGGUGCAGAAGAAGGACCGGCCAACUACGUGCCAGCAGCCGCCGUAA